UACGAAGGGUGCAAGCGUUACUCGGAAUUACUGGGCGUAAAGCGUGCGUAGGUGGUUCGUUAAGUCUGUCGUGAAAGCCCCGGGCUCAACCUGGGAAUGGCGAUGGAUACUGGCGGGCUAGAGUGCGGUAGAGGAGAGUGGAAUUCCCGGUGUAGCAGUGAAAUGCGCAGAUAUCAGGAAGAACACCCGUGGCUAAGGCGGCUCUCUAGUACGGUACUGACGCUGAGACGCGAAAGCGUGGGGAGCGAACAGG
rnacentral:rRNA from 1 species